UACGUAGGCAGCGAGCGUUGUUCGGAAUUACUGGGCGUAAAGAGUGUGUAGGCGGUGCUCUAAGUUCGGUGUGAAAUCUCCUGGCUCAACUGGGAGGGUGCGCCGGAAACUGGAGUGCUUGAGCGUGGGAGAGGAAAGCGGAAUUCCUGGUGUAGCGGUGAAGUGCGUAGAUAUCAGGAGGAACACCUGUGGUGUAGACGGCUUUCUGGACCAUAGCUGACGCUGAGACACGAAAGCGUGGGUAGCAAACAGG
rnacentral:rRNA from 1 species